CUUCCCAUUUGUGUGUCACAAGUCUCUUCUUGUAGCCAGGCAGUGUUUAAUCAAUACAUUUUACUCCCAGUCAGUCAUUAUGGGAUGUAAUUAUAAUGUUCUCUUUAAUGUCUGAUGAAGUCAGGAGCUCUCGCCCCCUAAAACGUGUUACAAGGACUUUUAUUAUAAACCUGUAUAUUCAGUAAUUAGACCUUGGAGCUCUAGAACAUUUGGAGGACUGGUGGUGGAGCACUGAUUACGUAUCAGGGGAAAAUCAUCUCCAAUAUGGAUGAUAAGGACAACUGACCUGUGUUGUGCAGUGUACGAUACUUUGUACCUCAAAGGUAAAGUUCUGUUUGAAAGACAAUAGUCGAUUUCACUAAUGACCUACCAAGGAUGGACGAGGACAGAGACCACAUGGCUGCAAGGAUAUUGGACCUCACCCUAGAGAUCAUCUACCUGAUAACUGGAGAGGAUUACACAGUAGUGAAGAAGUCGUCUGGUGAGUGUGUGACACCCCAUGUGUCAGGAGAAUGGAGCAGGACCCCGGGAGCCAUCACCGAGCCUCCACCUCAUUCACUGAUACAUGAGCAGAAGAUCCUAGAACUUACCACCAGGAUCACUGAGCUGCUGAACAGAGAGGUGAGCGCUGCUGGGAAUGC